rnacentral:lncRNA from 1 species
AAAUUAUAAGUUACGAGAGCAGCAAAGAAUCUUAUUGUGUGCCGUUAGCUUUGCCUCUGCCUGAUUAAUCAAUUCGCUAAUAUAUUCCACCACAAAUUCUACUUUAACGAGAAUGAUGAUGAUGCUUAGUCGACGCUUGCUUGCUCGUAGGCUCUGACCUACGUACGUAAACAGAACGGUUACGUAUAAUACACGGUAGCAGCGACGAAUUCUAGACGUAUAAUUACAGAUGGUAAUAGACGACGGCGAAGUGUACGAGGAUUACGACGAAGGUCUCGAUAAAGAACAGCAACGAGAUUAGAGAUUGCAGCAACGAGAACAAUCAGAGCCUAUGAGCAAGCGAGCGUCGGCCGAGCACCAUCAUUUUCGUUAAAGGCGAGUUUGUGAUGGAAUAUAUUGGCAAAUUGAUCAACCAGUUGACGAGUCACAAUCAUUUGUUGCCUAGACGAGAUCAUUCGCAUGCUGCAAUCAUUGUCUGCAAUAUAAAGAAUAUUUGUUCCACGGUAGUCGUUAAAUAAUGGAUACACUAUAUAUAUAAACAAUCCUAUAACUCCAAGGCAGCAACUUCUUUUAGCACUAAGAUUUUUUGCAACAGGAUCUUUUAUAAUAUCUGCAGGUGAUUUUGCUGGAGUCAGUACUACUAGUGCCCAUAGAAUAAUUAAUCAUGUUAGUAGUGCAAUCGCCAGACUUUGGCCAUAUUUUAUAAAAUUUCCUACAACAAAUAUUGAAAUAAAAAAACAAACAAUUAGAAUUCUAUAAAAUCGCACGAUUUCUAAGAAUUGUAGGUUGCAUAGGUUGUACACACAUUCGAGUUCAAUCAUCUGGUACUGAGAAUGCAGAACUAUUUAAAAACAGAAAGGGAUAUUUUUCUUUAAAUGUGCAAGUUGUGACAAAUAGUAAUUUAAAAAUUACUAACAUCGUAGCUCGAUGGCCUAGAUCAGCACCAUGAUAGUACCAUUUUUAACUAGGGUUGCGUAGGUCUUCGAAGUCAAGCAACGUCGACGGUGGUUCACGCUUGGAUGGGUGAUCGCUUUUCUUAUCGCAGAAAUUAACCAAUGACAAAUGCGACUAUGGUAGAGUAACUAUUAUGCUUGUUAAAAAACAAGAUAAAUAACAUUUUUUUCUUACAUUAUAAUUAUGUUAUUUCAACAUUUUCACAAUGUUAUUUUAACAUUUUCGCAAUGUUAAAACAAAUAAGUGCGAUAUUAUUUACAACAGCAUUGCAAAUGUUAUUUCAACAUUAUCGAAACCUCUAAUUGAAGUCAAAGUUUGUUCAUAAUAAAUGUUAUAUACAACGUUAAAAACUACAUACUUUGUUCAUAAUAAAUGUUAUAUAUAACGUUAAAAACAACUGGUCAUUUUUCUUUGGCUAGAACAAAAAAAUUUUUUUUAUCAUUAAAGGCAAAUAAUUGGCAAAUAAUUUAUACAAUAUUGAUUUUUUUUAAUUUGUUUAGUUUGCAUACGUUUUUUGUAGUAUCUUGAUAUUAAGCUAUCUAGCCACUAGCAAUUUUUGGGGGGCUGGAGCAAAACAAUUUUUUGUCACCAAAAGAUAGCAAAUAAUUAGCAAAUAAUUUCUAUAUUAAUGAUUUUUUAUUUUGUUCAGUGUAUAUGCAUUUUUUGUAGUGGCUAGAUAGCUUAAUAUUAAGCUAUUUAGUUACCGGUAAUUUUUUUGUAGCUGGAGCAAAAACAUUUUUUUAGCAAAAAAUAGCAAAUUAUCAAAUAAUUCUUAUGCAGAAAUUGAUGUUUUAUGAUGAUAUGGCUCAGUCAGCUUAAUAUACCUCUUAUGAAGGCUUAUAAAUCAUGUUUGUUUUUCAACAAGUAAGUGGAUUGAAAUAAACUUCUGCACGAAUAUUUAAUAGAAUUUUAUAAAUAUACAUACAAAAUUUUUAUAUAAUUCCUAAUACUUUUCUCAUUAAAUUAGCAAAUAAGUACUAUAAAAUGUAAUAAAAAUCAAGAGUAGACAAAAAAUUUAACAACUUUUAAACUAAGAUUUAAAAGUUUAUUUCAAUCCACUUACUUAUUGAAAAACAAGUGAUUUAUAAACUUUAAAAACCUUUAUAAGAGGUAUAUUAAACUGGCUAAACCAUAUCAUCAUAAAACAUCGAUUUUUACAUGAGAAUUAUGUGCUAAUUUGCUAUUUUUUGCUAAAAAAAUGUUUUUGUUCCAGCUAAAAAAAAUUUAGUAAUUUAGUAGUCAAACGUAAACUUAAUAUUCAAACGUAAUAGAACAAUCUGUAAAAUAAAAAUAUUUUUGGUAAAUACUCUGAAAUGUGACAUAUACAUGUUUAAAUAUUUACAAAAUAACAAUAAUGUCGUUACAUUUAUUAUACAUGAUGUUGCCGAUAAAACACUUUUACUAUCCAUUUUCUGAACAUGCUCAAUCAAUUAAGAAAAUCUCUAUUUUUUUCGCGGGCAACAUUAACUUGUGUUCAAGUCUUCGUUGCUCAAGGUAAUUCAACUUAGAUUUUUCAAGUUUCUACCUUG